rnacentral:rRNA from 1 species
GAUGAACGCUGGCGGCGUGCCUAAUACAUGCAAGUCGAGCGAACGGACGAGAAGCUUGCUUCUCUGAUGUUAGCGGCGGACGGGUGAGUAACACGUGGAUAACCUACCUAUAAGACUGGGAUAACUUCGGGAAACCGGAGCUAAUACCGGAUGAUAUUUUGAACCGCAUGGUUCAAAAGUGAAAGACGGUCUUGCUGUCACUUAUAGAUGGAUCCGCGCUGCAUUAGCUAGUUGGUAAGGUAACGGCUUACCAAGGCAACGAUGCAUAGCCGACCUUAGAGGGUGAUCGUCCACACUGGAACUGAGACACGGUCCAGACUCCUACGGGAGGCAGCAGUAGGGAAUCUUCCGCAAUGGGCGAAAGCCUGACGGAGCAACGCCGCGUGAGUGAUGAAGGUCUUCGGAUCGUAAAACUCUGUUAUUAGGGAAGAACAUAUGUGUAAGUAACUGUGCACAUCUUGACGGUACCUAAUCAGAAAGCCACGGCUAACUACGUG